UACGUAGGGUGCAAGCGUUGUCCGGAAUUAUUGGGCGUAAAGAGCUCGUAGGCGGCUAAUCGCGUCGGCUGUGAAAACCUGGGGCUCAACCCCGGGCCUGCAGCCGAUACGGGUUAGCGUAGAAUUCGGUAGGGGAGACUGGAAUUCCUGGUGUAGCGGUGAAAUGCGCAGAUAUCAGGAGGAACACCGGUGGCGAAGGCGGAUCUCUGGGCCUUACCUGACGCUCAGGUGCGAAAGCUAGGGGAGCGAACAGG
rnacentral:rRNA from 1 species